rnacentral:rRNA from 1 species
AUAUUGGUCAAUGGACGAGAGUCUGAACCAGCCAAGUCGCGUGAAGGAAGACGGAUCUAUGGUUUGUAAACUUCUUUAGUGCGGGAACAAAGCGGCGUCGUGACGCCUGAUGAGUGUACCGCAAGAAUAAGCAUCGGCUAACUCCGUGCCAGCAGCCGCGGUAAUACGGAGGAUGCGAGCGUUAUCCGGAUUUAUUGGGUUUAAAGGGAGCGCAGGCUGCGAGGCAAGUCAGCGGUCAAAUGUCGGGGCUCAACCCCGGCCUGCCGUUGAAACUGUCCUGCUAGAGUUCGAGUGAGGUAUGCGGAAUGCGUUGUGUAGCGGUGAAAUGCAUAGAUAUGACGCAGAACUCCGAUUGCGAAGGCAGCAUACCAACUCGCGACUGACGCUGAGGCUCGAAAGCGUGGGUAUCGAACAGGAUUAGAUACCCUGGUAGUCCACGCAGUAAACGAUGAAUACUAACUGUUCGGAGGGCGACCUCUGAGUGGUAAAGCGAAAGCGUUAAGUAUUCCACCUGGGGAGUACGCCGGCAACGGUGAAACUCAAAGGAAUUGACGGGGGCCCGCACAAGCGGAGGAACAUGUGGUUUAAUUCGAUGAUACGCGAGGAACCUUACCCGGGCUCAAACGUCGGGCGAAUCAUCCUGAAAGGGGUGAGCCAGCAAUGGCGGCCGACGAGGUGCUGCAUGGUUGUCGUCAGCUCGUGCCGUGAGGUGUCGGCUUAAGUGCCAUAACGAGCGCAACCCCCGCGUCCAGUUGCCAGCGAUUAGAGUCGGGCACUCUGGACGGACUGCCGGCGCAAGCCGCGAGGAAGGCGGGGAUGACGUCAAAUCAGCACGGCCCUUACGUCCGGGGCGACACACGUGUUACAAUGGCGUGGAACAGAGGGAAGCCACCUGGCGACAGGGAGCGGAACCCGAAAACACGUCUCAGUUCGGAUUGGAGUCUGCAACUCGACUCCAUGAAGCUGGAUUCGCUAGUAAUCGCGCAUCAGCCAUGGCGCGGUGAAUACGUUCCCGGGCCUUGUACACACCGCCCGUCAAGCCAUGGGAGCCGGGAGUGCCUGAAGGCCGUAACCGCAAGGAGCGGUCAAGGGUAAGACUGGUGACUGGGGCUAAGUCGUAACAAGGUAGCCGUACCGGAAGGUGCGGCUG